UACGUAGGGUGCGAGCGUUAAUCGGAAUUACUGGGCGUAAAGCGUGCGCAGGCGGUUUUGUAAGCCAGAUGUGAAAUCCCCGGGCUUAACCUGGGAAUGGCAUUUGGGACUGCAAGGCUGGAGUGUGGCAGAGGAGACUGGAAUUCCCGGUGUAGCAGUGAAAUGCGUAGAUAUCGGGAGGAAUACCGAUGGCGAAGGCAGGUCUCUGGGCUGACGCUGACGCUCAUGCACGAAAGCGUGGGGAGCAAACAGG
rnacentral:rRNA from 1 species